rnacentral:rRNA from 1 species
AACGAACGCUGGCGGCAGGCUUAACACACGCAAGUCGAGCGCCCCGCAAGGGGCGCGGCAGACGGGUGAGUAACGCGUGGGAACGUACCUUUUGGUUCGGAACAACUCCGGGAAACUGGAGCUAAUACCGGAUAAGCCCUAACGGGGAAAGAUUUAUCGCCGAAAGAUCGGCCCGCGUCUGAUUAGCUAGUUGGUGAGGUAACGGCUCACCAAGGCGACGAUCAGUAGCUGGUCUGAGAGGAUGAUCAGCCACACUGGGACUGAGACACGGCCCAGACUCCUACGGGAGGCAGCAGUGGGGAAUAUUGGACAAUGGGCGCAAGCCUGAUCCAGCCAUGCCGCGUGAGUGAUGAAGGCCUUAGGGUUGUAAAGCUCUUUUGUCCGGGAAGAUAAUGACUGUACCGGAAGAAUAAGCCCCGGCUAACUUCGUG